GACGAACGCUGGCGGCGUGCCUAACACAUGCAAGUCGAGCGAAUGAAGUUCCUUCGGGAACGGAUUUAGCGGCGGACGGGUGAGUAACACGUGGGCAACCUGCCUCAUAGAGGGGAAUAGCCUUCCGAAAGGGAGAUUAAUACCGCAUAAGAUUGUAGUACCGCAUGGUACAGCAAUUAAAGGAGCAAUCCGCUAUGAGAUGGGCCCGCGGCGCAGUAGCUAGUUGGUGAGGUAACGGCUCACCAAGGCGACGAUGCGUAGCCGACCUGAGAGGGUGAUCGGCCACAUUGAGACUGAGACGCGGCGCAGACUCCUACGGGAGGCAGCAGUGGGGAAUAUUGCACAAUGGGGGAAACCCUGAGGCAGCAACGCCGCGUGGGUGAGGACGGCCUGCGGGUUGUAAAGCUCUGUCUUCAGGGACGAUAAUGACGGUACCUGAGGAGGAAGCCACGGCUAACUACGUGCCAGCCGCCGCCGUAACAC
rnacentral:rRNA from 1 species